rnacentral:tRNA from 1 species
UCCCUGGUGGCUCAGCUGGUAAAGAACCUGCCUGCAAUGCAGGGGACCUGGGUUCAAUCCCUGGUUGGGAAG